CUAAUACCGCAUAAGCCCACAGCUCGGCAUCGAGCAGAGGGAAAAGGAGCAAUCCGCUUUGAGAUGGCCUCGCGUCCGAUUAGCUAGUUGGUGAGGUAACGGCCCACCAAGGCGACGAUCGGUAGCCGGACUGAGAGGUUGAACGGCCACAUUGGGACUGAGACACGGCCCAGACUCCUACGGGAGGCAGCAGUAGGGAAUAUUGCACAAUGGGGGAAACCCUGAUGCAGCAACGCCGCGUGAGUGAAGAAGUAUUUCGGUAUGUAAAGCUCUAUCAGCAGGAAAGAAAAUGACGGUACCUGACUAAGAAGCCCCGACUUUUUUCGUGCCAGCAGCCGCGGUAAUACGUAGGGGGCAAGCGUUAUCCGGAUUUACUGGGUGUAAAGGGAGCGUAGACGGUUUUGCAAGUCUGAAGUGAAAGCCCGUGGCUUAACCCCGUGACUGCUUUUGUUAACUGUAUAACUA
rnacentral:rRNA from 1 species